rnacentral:rRNA from 1 species
AGCAGCCGCGGUAAUUCCAGCUCCAAUAGCGUAUAUUAAAGUUGUUGCAGUUAAAAAGCUCGUAGUUGAAUUUCGGGGUCAGCAAGUUGGUCGUGCCACUGGUAUGUACUGGCUUUGCUGAUUCCUCCUUCUUGUAGAACCGUAAUGCCAUUAAUUUGGUGUUGCGGGGAAACAGGACUGUUACUUUGAAAAAAUUAGAGUGUUUAAAGCAGGCUAACGCUUGAAUACAUUAGCAUGGAAUAAUGAAAUAGGACGAGCGAUCCUAUUUUGUUGGUUUCUAGGAUUGACGUAAUGAUUAAUAGGGAUAGUUGGGGGCAUUAGUAUUCAAUUGUCAGAGGUGAAAUUCUUGGAUUUAUUGAAGACUAACUACUGCGAAAGCAUUUGCCAAGGAUGUUUUCAUUAAUCAAGAACGAAAGUUAGGGGAUCGAAGACGAUCAGAUACCGUCGUAG